rnacentral:rRNA from 1 species
AAGAUGCGACCGGCGCACGGGUGAGUAACACGUAUCCAACCUGCCGAUAACUCUGGAAUAGCCUUUCGAAAGAAAGAUUAAUACCGGAUGGCAUACGAAUAUCGCAUGAUAUUUUUAUUUAAAGAAUUUCGGUUAUCGAUGGGGAUGCGUUCCAUUAGUUUGUUGGCGGGGUAACGGCCCACCAAGACAACGAUGGAUAGGGGUUCUGAGAGGAAGGUCCCCCACAUUGGAACUGAGACACGGUCCAA